rnacentral:rRNA from 1 species
AUUGAACGCUGGCGGCAUGCUUUACACAUGCAAGUCGAACGGCAGCACGGGUGCUUGCACCUGGUGGCGAGUGGCGAACGGGUGAGUAAUGCAUCGGAACGUGCCCAUGAGUGGGGGAUAGCCCGGCGAAAGCCGGAUUAAUACCGCAUACGCCCUUAGGGGGAAAGCGGGGGAGUCUUCGGACCUCGCGCUAUUGGAGCGGCCGAUGUCGGAUUAGCUAGUAGGUGAGGUAAAGGCUCACCUAGGCGACGAUCCGUAGCUGGUCUGAGAGGAUGAUCAGCCACACUGGGACUGAGACACGGCCCAGACUCCUACGGGAGGCAGCAGUGGGGAAUUUUGGACAAUGGGCGCAAGCCUGAUCCAGCCAUGCCGCGUGAGUGAAGAAGGCC